rnacentral:rRNA from 1 species
AGCGAACGCUGGCGGCAGGCUUAACACAUGCAGGUCGAGCGGGCAUAGUAAUAUGUCAGCGGCAGACGGGUGAGUAACGCGUGGGAACGUACCUUUUGGUUCGGAACAACACAGGGAAACUUGUGCUAAUACCGGAUAAGCCCUUACGGGGAAAGAUUUAUCGCCGAAAGAUCGGCCCGCGUCUGAUUAGCUAGUUGGUGAGGUAAUGGCUCACCAAGGCGACGAUCAGUAGCUGGUCUGAGAGGAUGAUCAGCCACAUUGGGACUGAGACACGGCCCAAACUCCUACGGGAGGCAGCAGUGGGGAAUAUUGGACAAUGGGCGCAAGCCUGAUCCAGCCAUGCCGCGUGAGUGAUGAAGGCCCUAGGGUUGUAAAGCUCUUUUGUGCGGGAAGAUAAUGACGGUACCGCAAGAAUAAGCCCCGGCUAACUUCGUGCCAGCAGCCGCGGUAA